rnacentral:rRNA from 1 species
UUCAGAGGUCCCAAGCGUUGUUCGGAUUCACUGGGCGUAAAGGGUGCGUAGGCGGUCGGGUAAGUCUGAUGUGAAAUCUCACAGCUUAACUGUGAAACUGCAUUGGAUACUAUUCGGCUUGAGAGUUGGAGGGGGGACUGGAAUUCUUGGUGUAGCAGUGAAAUGCGUAGAUAUCAAGAGGAACACCAGUGGCGAAGGCGAGUCCCUGGACAACUUCUGACGCUGAGGCACGAAAGCUAGGGGAGCAAACGGG